AAGUAACUUAUAACUAAGUGUUUUGACUAUUCCAGUCAUGCAAGCAACAUCUUUUGGAUGGAUUGUCAUUAAAUAUGGUGCAAACAUUCGUGUUCUCCAAGGAAUGAACUGUAAUAACUCAGUGUGUCCAAUGUUUUGUGCUAACGAGCAAAUUUCAGCAUACUAACACACUAAAAAUGAGAUUGUGAACAUUAUACCUAUACAUGAUAACUUUAGUGUAAGCAUGUUACCAUGCUGAUAUUAGCAUUCAGCUCAAAGCAACACUGUGCAGCCUCACAGAGCUGCUAGCAUGGCUGUAGAUUCAAAAUAUUUUGAAAUCAGAGUACAAGCAGGGCUUCUUGUCAGUGUUAGACAGUUUUCAUCUUUCUAUUUGCAAAUUAAAAAACAUGUUGUAGAAAACAGGAUAUUCCAAUAGAAAAAAAAGCUUUGGAAAAGCAAGGAAAUGGAAAUAAAGCUACUUGACAACAAACUUGUAGUUGUGCGGAUUAAUCCAUACAGUGGUUCCUAUAUGUUCCCUGCUGUACUUUAUUGUGUCCAGUAUGACGAUGAUUUGUCCAUGAGCUCAAAAGCAGCACACAAAGUUAUUGCGUACAGUAUUAUUCUAUCAAAACACAAUAUCCGACUGCGUCCUUUUUCAAUUUCCUUCUCACUACGCCCCUCGACCGCAGCUCACACAUCCAUCUUCCAGGACCUCAUUUCAUCACGCAAACACUUCCUCCGCUGGACUUUAUCCUGAGAGAUAAUCAUUAUGUGAGGACAUUUUGCUGCACUGGACAAGCAAAGGCCCUAUCUGAACAUUUCCUGAUUAGAUGUGCAUUACCUCAUUCAUCCACAGUGAACUCUGUGUGAAACUGAAGCCCCUUUUCCUGUCUCGCCUCAAUUGAUAUUGCUUUCCUGAUUUAAACUGAGAGAGUAUUUGCUGCAAUUUUUAUUGCAUUUUUGUUGUCCUUUUUCUUUUAUCUGGGCUUGUGAGCAAGGCCGAAGGCAAAAGUCUUUUAUACUGCAAACACAUAGCAAGCCCAAACUCUGAAAGGCUUUAUCUGAGGAAAAACAAAACAAAGCUUUAUCUUCCAGAAGUGCACAGUGGGGAGAUUCUGCUUUGUGUUAGUGGCCCACUGUCA